rnacentral:rRNA from 1 species
GACUAAGCAUAUCAAUAAGCGGAGGAAAAGAAACCAACAGGGAUUGCCUCAGUAACGGCGAGUGAAGCGGCAACAGCUCAAAUUUGAAAUCUGACCCCUUCGGGGCCCGAGUUGUAAUUUGUAGAGGAUGCUUCGGGUGCGGCGCCGGUCUAAGUUCCUUGGAACAGGACGUCAUAGAGGGUGAGAAUCCCGUAUGCGACCGGCGGCCAACCCCGUGUGAAGCCCCUUCGACGAGUCGAGUUGUUUGGGAAUGCAGCUCAAAAUGGGUGGUAAAUUUCAUCUAAAGCUAAAUACCGGCCAGAGACCGAUAGCGCACAAGUAGAGUGAUCGAAAGAUGAAAAGCACUUUGGAAAGAGAGUCAAACAGUACGUGAAAUUGUUGAAAGGGAAGCGCUUGCAACCAGACCUGCCCGCGGGCGAUCAGCCGUUAUUCUUAGCGGUGCACUCGUCCGCGAUCAGGCCAGCAUCGGUUCGAGCGGCCGGAUAAAGGCCUCGGGAAUGUAGCUCCCCCCGGGGAGUCUUAUAGCCCGGGGUGCAAUGCGGCCAGCCCGGACCGAGGACCGCGCUUCGGCUAGGAUGCUGGCGUAAUGGUUGUAAGCGACCCGUCUUGAAACACGGACC